ACGAACUCUGGUAUUGAUUGGUGCUUGCAUCAUGAUUUACAUUUGAGUGAGUGGCGAACUGGUGAGUAACACGUGGGAAACCUGCCCAGAAGCGGGGGAUAACACCUGGAAACAGAUGCUAAUACCGCAUAACAACUUGGACCGCAUGGUCCGAGCUUGAAAGAUGGCUUCGGCUAUCACUUUUGGAUGGUCCCGCGGCGUAUUAGCUAGAUGGUGGGGUAACGGCUCACCAUGGCAAUGAUACGUAGCCGACCUGAGAGGGUAAUCGGCCACAUUGGGACUGAGACACGGCCCAAACUCCUACGGGAGGCAGCAGUAGGGAAUCUUCCACAAUGGACGAAAGUCUGAUGGAGCAACGCCGCGUGAGUGAAGAAGGGUUUCGGCUCGUAAAACUCUGUUGUUAAAGAAGAACAUAUCUGAGAGUAACUGUUCAGGUAUUGACGGUAUUUAACCAGAAAGCCACGGCUAACUACGUGCCAGCAGCCGCGGUAAUACGUAGGUGGCAAGCGUUGUCCGGAUUUAUUGGGCGUAAAGCGAGCGCAGGCGGUUUUUUAAGUCUGAUGUGAAAGCCUUCGGCUCAACCGAAGAAGUGCAUCGGAAACUGGGAAACUUGAGUGCAGAAGAGGACAGUGGAACUCCAUGUGUAGCGGUGAAAUGCGUAGAUAUAUGGAAGAACACCAGUGGCGAAGGCGGCUGUCUGGUCUGUAACUGACGCUGAGGCUCGAAAGUAUGGGUAGCAAACAGGAUUAGAUACCCUGGUAGUCCAUACCGUAAACGAUGAAUGCUAAGUGUUGGAGGGUUUCCGCCCUUCAGUGCUGCAGCUAACGCAUUAAGCAUUCCGCCUGGGGAGUACGGCCGCAAGGCUGAAACUCAAAGGAAUUGACGGGGGCCCGCACAAGCGGUGGAGCAUGUGGUUUAAUUCGAAGCUACGCGAAGAACCUUACCAGGUCUUGACAUACUAUGCAAAUCUAAGAGAUUAGACGUUCCCUUCGGGGACAUGGAUACAGGUGGUGCAUGGUUGUCGUCAGCUCGUGUCGUGAGAUGUUGGGUUAAGUCCCGCAACGAGCGCAACCCUUAUUAUCAGUUGCCAGCAUUAAGUUGGGCACUCUGGUGAGACUGCCGGUGACAAACCGGAGGAAGGUGGGGAUGACGUCAAAUCAUCAUGCCCCUUAUGACCUGGGCUACACACGUGCUACAAUGGAUGGUACAACGAGUUGCGAACUCGCGAGAGUAAGCUAAUCUCUUAAAGCCAUUCUCAGUUCGGAUUGUAGGCUGCAACUCGCCUACAUGAAGUCGGAAUCGCUAGUAAUCGCGGAUCAGCAUGCCGCGGUGAAUACGUUCCCGGGCCUUGUACACACCGCCCGUCACACCAUGAGAGUUUGUAACACCCAAAGUCGGUGGGGUAACCUUU
rnacentral:rRNA from 1 species